AUUGAACGCUGGCGGCAUGCCUUACACAUGCAAGUCGAACGGCAGCGGACCUUCGGGUGCCGGCGAGUGGCGAACGGGUGAGUAAUGCAUCGGAACGUACCUUUCAGUGGGGGAUAACGUAGCGAAAGUUACGCUAACACCGCAUAUUCUGUGAGCAGGGAAGCAGGGGAUCGCAAGACCUUGCGCUGAUUGAGCGGCCGAUGUCAGAUUAGCUAGUUGGUGAGGUAAAGGCUCACCAAGGCGACGAUCUGUAGCGGGUCUGAGAGGAUGAUCCGCCACACUGGAACUGAGACACGGUCCAGACUCCUACGGGAGGCAGCAGUGGGGAAUUUUGGACAAUGGGGGCAACCCUGAUCCAGCCAUGCCGCGUGAGUGAAGAAGGCCUUCGGGUUGUAAAGCUCUUUCGGCCGGGAAGAAAUCGCACGGGCUAAUACCCUGUGUGGAUGACGGUACCGGAAUAAGAAGCACCGGCUAACUACGUGCCAGCAGCCGCGGUAAUAC
rnacentral:rRNA from 1 species